rnacentral:misc_RNA from 1 species
AGCCCAACCAUCAACCAUUAUAUAUGUCAUAAAGAAAGUUGCUUUCAUUGGUAUUGAUACCCCAAUAUUUCGCGGUAUCUGGGUAGCUGAUUCGUGAAGGAACGCAUGAAGUUGCUGGAAAGCUGUCCCUGCUACUAUGCUCCCCAGGAAUACAUUGACCAACAUAAAAUAAUAGUAUUUUGCAGCUGUUCUCCUCUCAAGCACUGAUAAUGCCACAUGUCCCUCAAUCUUUGACAUAAACAUCAGUAUGGCAGGAAGAACAAACAAGAAUACUUUAAGAGCCAAACCAGGAAGAAAACCCUGUAGAAAUGACUUGAUAACCUUCCAUUCAAUAAGUGGCCUGAGGAAAGGUGCAACCUUUUCUAAA